rnacentral:lncRNA from 10 species
GCCCGCCCGGUCCACUAGUAAAACUCAAAUCAGCAAGGACUUCAGUAUCUAUAGUUCGCUUUUUCACAGCACACUAUUAAAAAAUGACUAAAGUGUCCUCAAUGCUUCACAUAAAUUUAAAAAAUAAAGCACAAGCUUUCCAAGAAAUGUCUAGCCAAGGAGUUGCUAGAAGGGACUAUCUAAUAACUUCUUGAUCUGAAACCUAAACUUAAAUCACAUCUUGUUAUAAUGGAAACUGUUUUUCUAUUAUAUUUAAUUCUUCACCUUUGAUUGAGAUGUCUUAGGGUUGGUAGAUAAAAUAUAGGAUUCCCGGUUAAAUUUGACUGUAAGAUAAUAAAAUUAUAUAUAUGUAUGCAAUAUAUAAUUAUAUAUGUAAUAAGUCAUAUAACAUAUUAUAUAAUAUAAUAAGUCACUGGCAAUAUUUAGAACAUACUUAUACUAAACAAUUAUUCAUUGUUUAUCUGAAAUUCAAGUUCAUCUGGGCAUCCUGGUUUUGUUUUUUUGUUUUUGUUUUUGUUUUUGUUUUUUGCUUAAUAUGGCAACUUGAUUCACUCCGCUUCUAUCUUU